rnacentral:rRNA from 1 species
UACGGGGGGAGCAAGCGUUGUUCGGAUUUACUGGGCGUAAAGGGCGCGUAGGCGGUCAGCACAAGUCAGUUGUGAAAUCUCCGGGCUUAACUCGGAAAGGUCAACUGAUACUGUGCGACUAGAGUGCAGAAGGGGCAACUGGAAUUCUCGGUGUAGCGGUGAAAUGCGUAGAUAUCGAGAGGAACAUCUGCGGCGAAGGCGGGUUGCUGGGCUGACACUGACGCUGAUGCGCGAAAGCCAGGGGAGCGAACGGG